UACAGAGGGGGCAAGCGUUGUUCGGAAUUACUGGGCGUAAAGGGCGCGUAGGCGGCCUGCUAAGUCGAACGUGAAAUCCCCGAGCUCAACUCGGGAACUGCGUCCGAUACUGGCAGGCUUGAAUCCGGGAGAGGGAUGCAGAAUUCCAGGUGUAGCGGUGAAAUGCGUAGAUAUCUGGAGGAAUACCGGUGGCGAAGGCGGCAUCCUGGACCGGCAUUGACGCUGAUGAGCGAAAGCUAGGGGAGCAAACGGG
rnacentral:rRNA from 1 species